AUAAGUGCUUUAAGGGCAUUUUUGUCAAAGAUCGAGAAGUUUCAGACAACAAGGUGUCUGUCCGAUGCAAACAAAGCUUAAGCAAAAUAAAGAGAAAGAGAAAGAGGCGUGAAAACCAGAGGUUGUAACGGAGAAGAUGAAGAAAACUUCUUCAAGCACUGCAAUCAGCAGAUUCAUCGUCAACAAUCGAUUGGGAAACGAAAAUUCUUUUCCUAUCUCUCUUCUAUUAUUCUUUUUCUUUCAGAUCUAUAAGUUUUGAGAAAAAUAUCUCUGAGAAAUUUCAAUAUGAUUUCAUGAAAAUCUGAAAAUUUCUUUCAAAGUCUUCAUUGAAAACAAGUUUCGAUUGUAGAUCCACAGUAAACAAACCUUGUUCUACAAACCCAUUAAGGGAUUUUCUCUAAAGAUUACAAAAAUAGGGAUUUCUAACCUGAUUUAGUUUUCCCUUGUGAAUGAAAUACAAUGAGCUAUUGAUGAUAUAUCUCGUUCUUUAUACGAUUUAAUAACCCAAACGAUUUGCUGAUUGCAGCUGUACCACGAAGCUGGAAGAAGCUGCACGAGUAAGAUCGGAGCAGCAACAACAGCUCAGAAACAUAGGUCAUCAUCAACAUCGCCACCAUCUCGAGACCAACUCGUGUUGAUACCUCUGAUCCAAUCGGACAGACUAUCUCGUACAUCUCAAACAAAUCAUCAAACUCGGACGAGAACCAAUAUCAGAUAAAACAAUCAACAGGAAUAUGAAAUCGGCUGCCAUCAACAGCUUUGCCUGAUUUAGGGCCAUUUGUCUUCAAUCUCUUCUCGUUCUAUUUUUCACAGCAAUUCCUAAACGAUUUUAUUUCAUAUUAUGAUUACUCACUGAAUUGACUUGUUACUACAGCAAGAUGAUAAUCGGGAUAAAAUCUCUUCACCAGCAGCGUGACCAAUUCGAGGAGUUACCUCGUACAGCUCAACUCGGAGCAACCAGUCUGCACAGCUCAAUCUAGAGCAUUCAUCUCGGAUAACAAAGCAGCAGACAGAUGUCGGAACGAAGACCAGUCAUCUCGUACAUUUCAGUCAAGAGAAUCAAUCUCGGACGGAAAACAAUAAGAGAAUCCAAUCGGACGAACCAUACUCGUAUUGGCAGUACUGCUCAACUCAGAGCCGCAACCUCAGAUCGGAAAGAUACCUCCUAUCUGGUCGUGAAGAAACAACCAGCACGAGGGGAGCCGGUCAGAGCAAGAUCUAGUACUCACCAAUCUCGGACGAGAAAUCAACAAGACAACCAGAGCAUGAACUCGGAUGUCUCACUAUCUUAGCCUGAUUUUUGGACUUUUUCCUCACUCUCUCUUCGUGCUGUCUUGCAUAACAAUUGUUAAACGAAAUCAACAGAUAAUGUGAUUACUAAUCUAGUUGUCUUGUUGCUGCAGAAAAACGAUGGCGUUCGAAAUCACAUCGGAAUCACCAACUCGUUCUCAACUCGAGACCAACUCGUGGAGCCUAUUAGAGCUCGGACUCAUCAGUUCAUCUCCGAGCACCAAUCUCGGACAAGCAAUUAACAGAACAACCAGCACGAUGGGAGUCAGUCAGAGCAUGAUCUCGGACUCACCAGUUGAUCGGUCUUGAAGCACGAACUCGGAUCGUACAUUGGGUUCGGACUAGGAGCAUCAGCUCAGACUUGUCACCCGACCAAAACUCGGGUGCAUGAUGAAAUGCUCUACAGAGGAGCUAUGGUAUGGAUUCAGUCUCGGACGAACAACCAUAGCUCAAUAUAUUUCAGACUUACCAAGUCAUCGGUCAAGAAGCACGGACUCUGAUCGCACGAGGUUAUCGGAUGCGAGCACGAUCUACUCGGACUCACAUGAUGUUCAACCAGAGCAUGAGAUCGGACUACCCAAGUGAAUGAAGCACGAACUCAGACUCAACAGUCCCUCUCCGAGCACCAAAUCGGAUAGCAUUCCUCUCUUACCUUAUAUCUCUUGAUUUCUUUUAAGUAACUAGAUGUUUUAUAUGCCUAAAUGCUUUGAAUCAAGAGAAAUUUGAUACAUUUCAUGACCAACAGGUACAUGAUAACAUACUAUAUGGCAGGACUCUUUUAUAGCGUCUGUUUCAGAUGGUCAUUUCAAGACCAAUAAUCUUAUGCUGUCGAAAACAUUCAUCUCGGGUCAUCCACGACGAUGCAUCCGUACUCACCAAGCUCACUGCUAGAGCUACAAAGCCAAACAGGAGAAAUUCUUAUCUCUUUAUCUUUGAAAUUUAUUAUGUUGCAGAUCUCUAAAGUAGACAAAUGCAAUCUAUCAAGCUCACAAGAUAUAAUAGAAUCUACUAUAACAUGAUAUAUUGUCUUUAA